rnacentral:rRNA from 1 species
AGAGCGAACGCUGGCGGCAGGCCUAACACAUGCAAGUCGAGCGCCCGUAGCAAUACGGGAGCGGCAGACGGGAUAGUAACACGUGGGAACGCGCCCUUCGGUUCGGAAUAACUCAGGGAAACUUGAGCUAAUACCGGAUACGCCCUUACGGGGAAAGAUUUAUUGCCGAAGGAACGGCCCGCGUCCGAUUAGCUAGUUGGUGAGGUAAUGGCUCACCAAGGCUCCGAUCGGUAGCUGGUCUGAGAGGAUGACCAGCAUCACUGGGACUGAGACACGGCCCAGACUCCUACGGGAGGCAGCAGUGGGAAUAUGGACAAUGGGCGCAAGCCUGAUCCAGCCAUGCCGCGUGGAUGAUGAAGGCCUUAGGGUUGUAAAGUCCGUUUUAACGGGGAAGAUAAUGACGGUACCCGUAGAAUAAGCCCCGGCUAACUUCGUGCCAGCAGCCGC